rnacentral:rRNA from 1 species
UGUAAGCGUAUACCAAAGUUGUUGCAGUUAAAACGCUCGUAGUCGGAAUUUGGCAGUUCCGGAUGUGUGCACGUCGUGUGCGCACUUCGCGGGGAUUGCUUUUGUGGUCUUGCGUAGGAUGAGGCACUUUUAUUAGUGAACGUCCUCACGCAACCACUUUUUACUGUGAGAAAAUCAGAGUGCUCAAAGCAGGCAUUUGCCGUGAAUGUUUUAGCAUGGAAUAAUAGAAUAGGACUUGGUUCUAUUUUGUUGGUUUGUUGGGACUGAGUAAUGAUUAAGAGGGACAGUUGGGGGCAUUUGUAUUUCGGUGCUAGAGGUGAAAUUCUUAGAUUACCGAAAGACAAACUGCUGCGAAAGCGUCUGCCAAGGAUGUUUUCAUUGA